UACGAAGGGGGGCUAGCGUUGCUCGGAAUCACUGGGCGUAAAGGGUGCGUAGGCGGGUCUUUUAAGUCAGGGGUGAAAUCCUGGAGCUCAACUCCAGAACUGCCUUUGAUACUGAAGAUCUUGAGUUCGGGAGAGGUGAGUGGAACUGCGAGUGUAGAGGUGAAAUUCGUAGAUAUUCGCAAGAAACACCAGUGGCGAAGGCGGCUCACUGGCCCGAUACUGACGCUGAGGCACGAAAGCGUGGGGAGCAAACAGGG
rnacentral:rRNA from 1 species